rnacentral:tmRNA from 1 species
GGGGGUGACAGGCUUCGAUAGGGAGAAAAUAAAAGCAGGGCAGGUCAAGUGGCGGAACCUUGUAAAAAUCCGCAACACGAAUAAGUGCCAACUUAUUUAGCGUACCUAGUUACGCAAUGGCUCACGCUUAACGCGUAAGUCCGUCGUCUUCCGACUCCUCUGGGAAGGGUGCGGCGUCAUAGAGGAUAGAAGAAUAAUUUUGUCCAACGUUAUUCUUCAAAAUUUACCGGACUCGGAAUUGAAGAUCUUGCCGAUUUCAUACUUCAGUUUUUAAACGCCUCGCGAUGGCGAGGCUGGAAAUUGGCUAAACCCGUAGAACGGCUUUUGUCUACUUUCUAGACGGGAGUUCAAUUCUCCCCACCUCCACCA